AAAAAAAUGUGAGGAACAAAAUGGCUAACAGCUCAAAUGAGCUGAAACUGUUGGUUUGUUUAUAACUAUUGAUUAAUUAGUUUUGAUUAGAUUUGGGAAAGAGUUGGUCAUGUUUUUGAAAGGGAAUUGAUCAAAUUCCUUCAUACAUAUUGCAUGGCUUUCUUCCCCAACAUUUUAACCUUCUUCAAGAAAUCCAGAGAAGUUAAAUGCCACACCAAUGGUUGCAUAACACCUAAAUCUAAGAGAAAAUGGUUCAAGCUCAAAGGCAAAGAGAAUGUUGUGACGUUGGGGAAAGUAAGAUGAGAUUUGACAAAUAAGCAGCGUAAUGACUCGCACGAGGUAUGAAGCAAAUCAGCAAUGUCUGUGAGGGUAUAAUUCUCUUUGGGGCUAGCCUUGCUCAGAUCUCUAACGAGUUUCUCCGGUGCACAUAAAUUGUAGAUGUUUUAUCAGUUGUUAAAACUCUUAUGUUUUAUUGUCCACAUUGGAAGCAAGCAAUAUUUGGCCUUCAUGUUCUUGGAUUCAUUAUGUAAUUUAUUUUCAAUCUUUGAUCAAGAAAAAUUAUGUUGAGAUCCGAAUAAUGAAUCAAUAAUCCCUGCUAAAUGGUACACAUGUACAUAGGCCUUUGGGAAAUGUUCAUCGUUUACGUCAGAAUUAUUAUCACCAAAACAAAUAUUCCUUUGAAAAUGUACAGGGAUUGAAAAUAAAAUUGAUACAUGCGCUAAACUAACAUUCAUGCACUUCUGUUUAUCUUCUUGAUCUGUUCUUUGAUCCAUUCAUGAACAUGCUUUGUAACAUUUCCUUUAAAUAAAAUUUGGAGUUUGUUGUUCAGG
rnacentral:lncRNA from 1 species